rnacentral:rRNA from 1 species
CUUGCUGAAGCUAGUACAGUGGCGCACGGGUGAGUAACGCGUGGGUAAUCUACCUCCGAAUUGGGGAUAACAUUGCGAAAGCGAUGCUAAUACCGAAUAAUAUCUUUAAAGCCUCGGUUUUUUAGAUCAAAGGUGGCCUCUACAUGUGAGCUUCUGUUUGGAGAUGAGCCCGCGUACCAUUAGCUUGUUGGUAGGGUAAUGGCCUACCAAGGCAACGAUGGUUAGCUGGUCUGAGAGGAUGAUCAGCCACACUGGAACUGACACACGGUCCAGACUCCUACGGGAGGCAGCAGUGAGGAAUUUUGCGCAAUGGGGGAAACCCUGACGCAGCAACGCCGCGUGAGUGAUGAAGGCUUUCGGGUCGUAAAGCUCUGUCAAGUGGGAAGAACCCACAUGGUGUUAAUAUCACUAUGUGUUGACGGUACCACUAAAGGAAGCACCGGCUAACUCCGUGCCAGCAGCCGCGGUAAUACGGGGGGUGCAAGCGUUAUUCGGAAUUACUGGGCGUAAAGGGCGCGCAGGCGGUCCUUUAAGUCAGAUGUGAAAGCCCGGGGCUCAACCCCGGAAGUGCAUUUGAAACUAAGGGACUUGAGUAUGGGAGAGGGAAGUGGAAUUCCUGGUGUAGCGGUGAAAUGCGUAGAUAUCAGGAGGAACACCGGUGGCGAAGGCGACUUCCUGGACCAAUACUGACGCUGAGGCGCGA